GACGAACGCUGGCGGCGUGCUUAACACAUGCAAGUCGAACGGAAAGGCCCUGCUUUUGUGGGGUGCUCGAGUGGCGAACGGGUGAGUAACACGUGAGCAACCUGCCCUUGACUUUGGGAUAACUUCAGGAAACUGGGGCUAAUACCGGAUAGGAGCUCCUGCUGCGUGGUGGGGGUUGGAAAGUUUCGGCGGUUGGGGAUGGACUCGCGGCUUAUCAGCUUGUUGGUGGGGUAGUGGCUUACCAAGGCUUUGACGGGUAGCCGGCCUGAGAGGGUGACCGGCCACAUUGGGACUGAGAUACGGCCCAGACUCCUACGGGAGGCAGCAGUGGGGAAUAUUGCACAAUGGGCGGAAGCCUGAUGCAGCAACGCCGCGUGCGGGAUGACGGCCUUCGGGUUGUAAACCGCUUUCGCCUGUGACGAAGCGUGAGUGACGGUAAUGGGUAAAGAAGCACCGGCUAACUACGUG
rnacentral:rRNA from 1 species